rnacentral:rRNA from 1 species
UACAGAGGUGGCAAGCGUUGUUCGGAAUUACUGGGCGUAAAGGGCGCGUAGGCGGUCUUUUAAGUCUUGUGUGAAAUCCCUCGGCUCAACUGAGGAACUGCACGGGAUACUGGAAGACUUGAGUUCGGGAGAGGGAAGCGGAAUUCCGGGUGUAGCGGUGAAAUGCGUAGAUAUCCGGAGGAACACCGGUGGCGAAGGCGGCUUCCUGGACCGAUUACUGACGCUGAGGCGCGAAAGCUAGGGGAGCGAACGGG